ACGGGUGAGUAAUGCCUAGGAAUCUGCCUGGUAGUGGGGGACAACGUUUCGAAAGGAACGCUAAUACCGCAUACGUCCUACGGGAGAAAGCAGGGGACCUUCGGGCCUUGCGCUAUCAGAUGAGCCUAGGUCGGAUUAGCUAGUUGGUGGGGUAAUGGCUCACCAAGGCGACGAUCCGUAACUGGUCUGAGAGGAUGAUCAGUCACACUGGAACUGAGACACGGUCCAGACUCCUACGGGAGGCAGCAGUGGGGAAUAUUGGACAAUGGGCGAAAGCCUGAUCCAGCCAUGCCGCGUGUGUGAAGAAGGUCUUCGGAUUGUAAAGCACUUUAAGUUGGGAGGAAGGGCAGUAAGUUAAUACCUUGCUGUUUUGACGUUACCGACAGAAUAAGCACCGGCUAACUCUGUGCCAGCAGCCGCGGUAAUACAGAGGGUGCAAGCGUUAAUCGGAAUUACUGGGCGUAAAGCGCGCGUAGGUGGUUUGUUAAGUUGGAUGUGAAAGCCCCGGGCUCAACCUGGGAACUGCAUCCAAAACUGGCAAGCUAGAGUACGGUAGAGGGUGGUGGAAUUUCCUGUGUAGCGGUAA
rnacentral:rRNA from 1 species